UACGUAGGGUGCGAGCGUUAAUCGGAAUUACUGGGCGUAAAGCGUGCGCAGGCGGUUAUAUAAGACAGUUGUGAAAUCCCCGGGCUCAACCUGGGAACUGCAUCUGUGACUGUAUAGCUAGAGUACGGUAGAGGGGGAUGGAAUUCCGCGUGUAGCAGUGAAAUGCGUAGAUAUGCGGAGGAACACCGAUGGCGAAGGCAAUCCCCUGGGCCUGUACUGACGCUCAUGCACGAAAGCGUGGGGAGCAAACAGG
rnacentral:rRNA from 1 species